GGGGGUGGUGCUCAUUGAUAGGUGUUUUCCUUUUGGAAGGGGGCUGUGAUACAUACAGAUUCAACCAAACGGGAAGGAGGGCCUGUGAGCCACUGGGUUUCAAACAAUGUAACCAAGAGUCAACACGUGGGCAGAAAAUAGGUUUCCUUUGCAGUUCAUUAUCUUCAGAAAGAGCUUUCCAGCCUCAGCCUCUCUGCCACCCCGGCUCUCUUAACUUCUUUCCUCUUCUCGGCUUAUUUGGGUUGGCUUCUUGGACCACUUCUCUCUCUCUCAACUGGAGACAGAGGAUCCAACAUAGGAGGCAGACAGACUUGGGCUUCAACCUGCUUCCACUUGCUGUGUCUACCACCAGAUCUCAGGGAACUCAGCCAGGGGACCCAGGCUUGCAGAGAGAACCACAGAGUGGAGCCAGGAGGACAGUGUGGACUCUCCCUGCAGCCAGCACGUAGAUCCUAAGCCAGAGAGACACUGAUUAGGUAAGCUUAAGCUUAAGAGAGAGCCUUAUCUUCUGAGAAGUG
rnacentral:lncRNA from 1 species